UUCUUUAAGAAAUUAUAUAAAGUAAUACCUGCUCAAUGAAAUAAAUUAAAUAGCCGCAGACUAUCUGUGCUAAGGUAGCAUAAUCAUUUGCUUCUUAAUUAGAAGAUCGUAUGAAAGGUAAAACGAUUUAAGUCUAUUUUAUUUUAAUAAACUAAAUUUAUCUAAACGUAAAAAAGCAUUUAUUAAAAAGAAAGACGACAAGACCCUAAUAAACUUAUCAUUUAGUUGGGGCGACAAUAAAAUAAUAUCUUAUAUAAACUUAAAACAAAACUGUUAUAAUCAAUCAAGAUUAGUUACUAUAGGGAUAACAGCGCUAUUUUCUUUUAAAGUUCUUAUAAAAAAGAAAGUUUACGACCUCGAUGUUGAAUUAAUUUUACAUAAAAUCGCAAAAGAUUUUACAGUUAGUCUGUUCGACUAUUUAAAUAUU
rnacentral:rRNA from 1 species